rnacentral:rRNA from 1 species
CCGGGCGGCGUGCCUAACACAUGCAAGUCGAUCGGAAAGGCCCCAGCUUGCUGGGGUACUCGAGUGGCGAACGGGUGAGUAACACGUGGGUGAUCUGCCCUGCACUCUGGGAUAAGCCUGGGAAACUGGGUCUAAUACCGGAUAGGACCGUGCUUUAGUGUGUGCGGUGGAAAGUUUUUCGGUGCAGGAUGAGCCCGCGGCCUAUCAGCUUGUUGGUGGGGUAAUGGCCUACCAAGGCGGCGACGGGUAGCCGGCCUGAGAGGGUGUACGGCCACAUUGGGACUGAGACACCGCCCAGACUCCUACGGGAGGCAGCAGUGGGGAAUAUUGCACAAUGGGCGCAAGCCUGAUGCAGCGACGCCGCGUGGGGGAUGACGGCCUUCGGGUUGUAAACCCCUUUCGGCAGGGACGAAGCUUUUGUGACGGUACCUGCAUAAGAAGCACCGGCUAACUACGUGCCAGCUGCCGCGGUAAUACGUAGGGUGCGAGCGUUGUCCGGAAUUACUGGGCGUAAAGAGCUCGUAGGUGGUUUGUCGCGUCGUCUGUGAAAUGCCGGGGCUUAACUCCGGGCGUGCAGGCGAU